rnacentral:lncRNA from 1 species
AGGAUCAAUAUGAAUAUACAUGUACACAAAUAAGAUUCCACAACAUAGUACAAUAAGUUGAAGAAUGCUAUAUAUGAAUCCAAUGACAAGUGCAUGCAUGUUGUAUUCUCCCAUUUCAUGAGGGAAGAGAAAUCUUGGAAAAAAAUUGUUAUGUUCAGCUUUCAUCUCAGAUUCAAUUGUUGGGUGGAAAACAGAAUAACAAAACAAAAAGCUUCAUAGAAAGCAAUGAUGAAAAGAAAAAACUACUUAAGAGAUCGACA